GUCUUCAUGCUGUAGUGGUCAGCACGCUUGACUCGUAACCGAGAGGUCCAUGGUUCGAUUCCCAGUGAAGGCA
rnacentral:tRNA from 1 species